rnacentral:rRNA from 1 species
UACGGAGGAUCCAAGCGUUAUCCGGAAUCAUUGGGUUUAAAGGGUCCGUAGGUGGCCGAUUAAGUCAGGGGUGAAAGUCUGCCGCUCAACUGUAGAAUUGCCCUUGAUACUGGUUGUCUUGAAUCAUUGUGAAGUGGUUAGAAUAUGUAGUGUAGCGGUGAAAUGCAUAGAUAUUACAUAGAAGAACAAUGGCGAAGGCAGAUCACUAACAAGGUAUUGACACUGAUGGACGAAAGCGUGGGGAGCGAACAGG